rnacentral:lncRNA from 1 species
GCGAGUUCCCAGCCUGAGCUACAGGAGUUAGAGGUGUCCGCGCGGGAAAGUGGCUCGCUGGUGGGCGGGGAGCCUUAGUCCUGGCGGUGGGUUGAAAAUCCGGCGCCGGGCAGACGCCCACGUUUGCUGAACCCCGGCUUGCCGGCGUUGGCUGCAACCCAAGGAAGCAACCAGUGACAUCGAUGGUUUCAUGAAUGGACUUCCUACCGGUAGACCCUGCAAGAGCAUGAACUCCUCUAUCAUUCAUCCAGAUGAAGAAAGAAAGAAAAAACUCAAGGCAUAUGUAAAGGCUGAAAUUCCCAAGAGUGGCCGAGUGGCAAGAUGGGAACUUCCUGGAGCUACCUAAGGACUCUAGCCUGAGUAUCUCUGGAUCAAACACCAAAAUGUGAACAACCUCUCUGAAGUUACCAAAGAAUAGAUCCAAAAAGAAUAUCAAAGUCUCCAAACUUGAAGUUUAAAAUUCUGAAAACAAGCAUAUUAUAUCUGAGAUAUUACUUGGUAGGUUUGUUUGUAUAUCAUCAACCAGUAGUGAAAUUACUAAUGUUCUUUGUAGGUUUAUUAUUCAUCUGUGAAUGUUUUAGUAGAUAACCAGUUGUAUGUUUAUAUCAUUAUAUGUUUAUAUAUUUAUUAGACACCCCAUUAUAGGUUUAUGUGUUAA